UAAUAGCUCACUGGUCGAGUCGGCCUGCGCGGAAGAUGUAACGGGGCUAAACCAUGCACCGAAGCUGCGGCAGCGACACUUAUGUGUUGUUGGGUAGGGGAGCGUUCUGUAAGCCGUUGAAGGUGUGCUGUGAGGCAUGCUGGAGGUAUCAGAAGUGCGAAUGCUGACAUAAGUAACGAUAAAGCGGGUGAAAAGCCCGCUCGCCGGAAGACCAAGGGUUCCUGUCCAACGUUAAUCGGGGCAGGGUGAGUCGACCCCUAAGGCGAGGCCGAAAGGCGUAGUCGAUGGGAAACAGGUUAAUAUUCCUGUACUUGGUGUUACUGCGAAGGGGGGACGGAGAAGGCUAUGUCAGCCGGGCGACGGUUGUCCCGGUUUAAGCAUGUAGGCGGAGGUUCCAGGUAAAUCCGGUACCUUAUUAACGCUGAGGUGUGAUGACGAGGCACUACGGUGCUGAAGUGAUAAAUGCCCUGCUUCCAGGAAAAGCCUCUAAGCAUCAGGUAACACGAAAUCGUACCCCAAACCGACACAGGUGGUCAGGUAGAGAAUACCAAGGCGCUUGAGAGAACUCGGGUGAAGGAACUAGGCAAAAUGGUGCCGUAACUUCGGGAGAAGGCACGCUGAU
rnacentral:rRNA from 1 species